CCUACGGGUGGCUGCAGUGAGGAAUAUUGGUCAAUGGACGAGAGUCUGAACCAGCCAAGUAGCGUGAAGGAUGACUGCCCUAUGGGUUGUAAACUUCUUUUAUAUGAGAAUAAACGGAUCCACGUGUGGCUUUUUGUAUGUACCAUAUGAAUAAGGAUCGGCUAACUCCGUGCCAGCAGCCGCGGUCAUACGGAGGAUCCGAGCGUUAUCCGGAUUUAUUGGGUUUAAAGGGAGCGUAGGUGGAUUGUUAAGUCAGUUGUGAAAGUUUGCGGCUCAACCGUAGAAUUGCAGUUGAAACUGGCAGUCUUGAGUACAGUUGAGGUGGGCGGAAUUCGUGGUGUAGCGGUGAAAUGCUUAGAGAUCACGAAGAACUCCGAUUGCGAAGGCAGCUCACUGAACUGCAACUGACACUGAGGCUCGAAAGUGUGGGUAGCAAACAGGAUUAGAUACCCGAGUAGUC
rnacentral:rRNA from 1 species